rnacentral:lncRNA from 1 species
UAAAAAAGAGGAAAAAGUGUUUUGUCAAAACGGCUGUCGUGGGGCAUCGUUGCCGCGUUUCGUCCAAAGACGGUCAGAAAGGGUUUCUGUUUACUCAUACCCCACAAACACACUCUCUCUCUCUCUCGACUGUUCUACUUCUUAGCAGCGAGGACCUUAGAAAUGCUCCGAAAACCUGUAAGUGCUUUUUUCUCUCUCUGCUUUUACAUUUGUACUUGGGCGCAAUAGCUUUAGCUCAACCUCAAAACAAAUUUCAAUGAUUGCUAUUACUUCAUAAUCUGAUUUGUCAAGGCAUGUGAUGUGGUGAAAAUUGUACUUCUUAUGGGUAGAGAUUUGGGCAAUUGUCUUUGAAGUCUUCAUUUUUUUUCCUUUAAACUGUGUCUUUGAAUGAAUCUUCAAAUUCUGAAAGUGCUCGAAUUUUUUAUUAUAAAUGUUAUAUUAAUUGUCUGAAAAUUUGUAUGCAAUACAAGAUGGGUUUUGUCAUGGUUCUUGAUGUUUUGCAUUUCCAAUGAUGUUAAAAUUGAAACAACUCAGUUUCAAUCAUCAGUGGAAGUGAAUUAGUUUACUUUUAAUCAUUGCUAUUGACCAAAUAAAUAUAGUAGAAACCAUUCGUAAUAAUAUCGUGUACUAUUUCGUUCAUGGUAGGAUCUCGUUAGGGGAUUUCAUUACCUCAUUGACCAUGCUAGAGGAACUUUUAUAUCCACAACUUCAGCCAACCAAACUAAGCUUAUUGUUGGAAACUAACAAAUAAGUAAAAGCCGAAAUCUUUAUAUUGCCCUGCCUGCACUUUAUGAAAGCCACCGUGGUUUUUUUUAUUCAUUAGGUCAUUUAAUUAUUGGAAAGUAAAUCCUAUUAUUUGAAGGAUUUUUUUAUUUUAAGAAAUACCUUGUGCAAACUGCAAACAGUCUGUACUGUUGAAAGCUCACCUCUAUUUACAGAGUUGAUAGAGAUGAUGUUUGUGCAGCUAGAAAUACAUUGUGUGAAGUAAAAUACAAAUCGAAGAUGAGAUGAAAACUCUAUGAAUUAAGAGUGCAUUUUGAGUCUCAAAGACAGACAUACAUUGUGUGAAGUAAAAUACCACGAAUAGUCUUUGGUCUUCUAGAGACCUCAUCAAUAUUCAAUAAUCCCAUUGAAGAGUUUGUGAGGUUGCCUCACCAAAGUAAUGUAUUAGUCGGCUCUUUUAAUAGAAGCUCUUCUAGAUUUUAAAAUAUGCCAUAUCACAUUUUGUUAUACUAAUCAAUGUUUUAGAAAGCCGAUAUCUUCCCAGUCUACGCAUGACCUCGUUCUGCUACAUUCAUGAGAUUCUACGGUUUAGGGAGUUUGCUGCGAUCCUGGUCUUGUUUAUCCAGUUAACUUGUAUCCAUGGGGACUUGACUAACAAAGGUUUCUGAACUCUGAUUAUUAAGUUGCAGAGAAAACAGUUUUUUUAGUAAAGGGGAUGAACAAAAGAAAAAGGACCUUUGUCCACCUGCUUCGCUUAGCUCUCUCAAGUAAAUUACCAUUGCUUGUGGGAGAGGCCAUUGCCUCAGGUUCCUCCACAAGAAGAGUUGAAGAUGGUGCAACAUCAGAUCCCGUUACCUUACUUCGAAUGGAAUUUUAGCCCAUGAAUUUUAAUUUUCUAGAGUUUAUGGCCUUUUUUCUUUACUAGAUUCCGCAUAUAUUUUCUUCUUUAUGCCCCCCUUUGAAGUUGAAUAUGUGUGUGAGUGGUGCAGGCAAUACUCUUCUGUCAAUUGUGGUCACUUCAUAUAGUUGAAUCAUUUAUUGUGAUAUCCUUUGGCCCAGUCUGGUUCCUUGGAUUCAUCUUGGCCCAGUCUGGUUUCUUGGAUUCAUCUUGGCUAUCUAACAUCCUGAAAUCAUUUUAUAAUAUCUUCCACGGUUUACCAAGGAUUUACCUGCAUCUUUUUCCAUGUACUUAUUUUAGCUGUGAAAGUAUUUGUUCAUUUAUUUAUUUUUCCGUCAGUUAAAAUAACUCUGACUUUGCAAGGGGCCAAAAAGGAG